AGCUGAUGUUUUUCAAACCUCUAGCCCAGAAGGUACUCUUCAGGUGCUGAUUUUCGUUUCCAUGCUGUGUGACGAUCACUGACAUCCUCAUACACUGCAGAUGGUGAUGCCAUCGCAUCAAGACCCAGAGUCUGCGAUCCUCGGCCACCGCCUUGACCUACGUGCCAGAGACAAAGCAGGCUCAGUCAGUAGCUGCCAAUUACAUAGCUGUAUACGCUACAAGGAAGGAGAUAGUCUGCAAUUCCAAACAGCACUGCAGACUUCUCCAAGCCCGGAGUCAGUCUUUCCUAGCUGGACAGCUAAGAUGGGACCCAUGCCAGGAAAAUCUACAGGGAACUAGAGAAGGCAGCAUUCAACUGAAGAGAAUACAUGAAUACAGUCCACUGGGCACCAUCUUGGAUGAAGAGCAGCUGACCAACGGCGAGACUGUGGUUAAUAACACAAAGUACAGUUCUGACAUCUUACUCUCUAACCAGAUCCAAUGCUUCCUGAGGGCAGGAAGCUUAUGCUUUGAAUACUUUCACUUUUCAUAGGACUGAGCACCAAGUAGGCACUGAAAAUGUCUUUGUUGAUUGAUGAGAAUUCCAGAAACCCAAACCAUAACAAAGUAGUAUGGUGUUUUCAUUAUCCAUUGCUGUACCACAAAUUAUUCCCAAACUGAGCAACUGGAAACAACACUUGAAUUAUCUAUAAUACACUUGUAUCUCUAAGGGUCAGAAGUGCAGACAUGGGUUGGCUGGAUCCCGGCACUCAGGGCCUCUGCAAAUGCUGUGGAUCUCCCUCAGUCCCUUGCCGCUUGGGCCUUUCCAUAUGGCAGAUCAUGA
rnacentral:lncRNA from 13 species